GCAUUAAUGGGGUAGUGGUAACCUGGGUCGUUGCCAUCUGUAUAUCGACCCGCCGGGGGUUCAAUUCCCCCUUAAUGCA